GGUUGUGAAGCACUGAAUUCAUUACACUGUUUCAAAUAGCAGGAUUCAUUAUUCAAUAUUAGAAGUCUGACUUGCGCUCUUGGGAAGAAAAUGAUGACUCCAGAAAAUAAUGACGAUGCUGAGUGGUAUAAUGCUAUGGUAUAGAUGUCAGUGUCAGUGAGAAGGUUCACGUGGUUUAGCGUAGAGGGAUAGAAACACAUAAUGGCUGCCUUCGUUUAACGAUUCAGAGAUCAGCCUUUCGACUCAUCACAAAACCAAACCGUCAAGUGUGCUCAUCUUGUACGUAAUGCCAUUUUUGUUCUUGAUUUUUUCUCUUUUAUCUGUUUUAAAAAAGACUUUGUUUGUUUCUACUGUUGUUGAGAAAAAUCUAGACGUUGUAUGUGCCUAUACAUUUCCCCUUUUGUUCUUAGUUUUUUCUCUCUUUGUUGAUCACUUUAUUUGUACGGAGAUCUGUGUGAAAACGUAAAAUGUGCUCCCCCCCCCCCCCCCCUCUCUUUGCCUGGCCCUAAACGCAAGGUAACACAUGAUCUAUGACAUUCUAUCGACACGGUCUUCUCCUCCGGAAGACAGACAGGCGAACAGAAACAUCGAUAUUUUGGCGUGUAUUUUUUACCAUGGAGAGAAAGGAGCAGCGAGACAACAUGAAAAUAGAAUUGAGUCCCAAACGACAUUCUAUUUCCUAUGUAGUACACUACAUUUGGCUGGAGCCCAUAGGAGCCCUGGUCAAAAAGUAGUGCACUAUAUAUAGCACAGGAUGCCAGUUGAGAUGCAACCCAUGCUUUUUUUAAAUUUGUAUUAUAUUGUACUGUUCCAUAGAGCAAUUGAAGGACAAAUUGCUAGUUAACUCAUUGACUUUGUGGUUCAGGGGAACUUUAUAUGAUUUACAUUUAAUAUAUUAUUUACAGCAUUACCCUUUUAUUUAUUUAUGAAAAACAAUUUCAUCAUUCAAGGAAAAUGUAGUUUAGCUUAAGACAAAAACAAAAAACAAAUAGGAAAAACGUAUGCAAGUCUGUUUUCUCAAUGUCUGUCCCAUCAAAUAGCCCCUUCCUGUUGUCAUUCUCCCAUCAGCCACUUCAGGAUUACGGUAUCCAUUUUAGGAUAGAGUCACACGGCGUUACUCCGGUCCUAGUUAAGACACUGUACUGGGUAGCACUUCUUCUCAGAAAAGUAACACACAUUCACAGUAACUUUGAGCUGCGAAAUGACCUAGACACGUAUCAUGGCCAACAACAUAGACCAACUGACUACAUUGUCUAUAUAUUUGAAUAACAACUCAACAUUUGAAGUUGAAAGUUUGUCGUAAAUUUGAAAAGACCAAGAGUUUGCGAUAGCUAGCUGUGCUCUGAGACUUUUUCCCAGUCAGGACUGGACCGGACAAGAUAGGGACAAGAAGUGUUCUCUGUUCUCUGUUUAGAAACAUAGAGAGAUUCAAGGUUUGAGUCCCAAAUUACACCCUAUUUCAUACGCAGUGUACUACUUUUGACCAGGACCCCCCAUAGGGAACAGGGUACCUUUUGGGACUCCUCUCAAUGUGACCUUCAUUUAGCCAAAUGUGCUGACGAGAGAGCCGGUGUGUCUGUGAGAUAAUGGGAUAUUGGGUUUUACUAAUGAGAGAUCACUGUGCCAUUUAAAAAGGGUUCGGAGCACCCAACCACCCAACGAAUGUGGUCUUCAAACACCUGUUAUAGAUUAAAGCCUAUGGUUAUAACCGCUUAUGGACGAUAGGCUAUAACCUGUUAUAGAUUAAAGGCUAAGGUUAAAACCUCUUAUGGACGAUAGGCUAUAACCUGUUAUAGAUUAAAGGCUAUGGUUAUAACCUCUUAUGGACGAUAGGCUAUAACCUGUUAUAGAUUAAAGGCUAUGGUUAUAACCUCUUAUGGACGAUAGGCUAUAACCUGUUAUAGAUUAAAGGCUAUGGUUAUAACCUCUUAUGGACGAUAAGCUAUAACCUGUUAUAGAUUAAAGGCUAUGGUUAUAACCUCUUAUGGACGAUAGGCUAUAACCUGUUAUAGAUUAAAGGCUAUGGUUAUAACCUCUUAUGGACGAUAGGCUAUAACCUGUUAUGGAUUAAAGGCUAUGGUUAUAACCUGUUCUACAUGAUAUGCUAUGGUUAUAAUCUGUUAUGGAUGAUAUGCUAUGGUUAUAACCUGUUCUACAUGAUAUGUUAUGGUUAUAAUCUGUUAUGGAUGAUAGGCUAUGGUUAUAACCUGUUCUACAUGAUAUGUUGUGGUUAUAAUCUGUUAUGGAUGAUAGGCUAUGGUUAUAACCUGUUCUACAUGAUAUGUUAUGGUUAUAAUCUGUUAUGGAUGAUAGGCUAUGGUUAUAAUCUGUUAUGGAUGAUAGGCUAUGGUUAUAACCUGUUCUACAUGAUAUGUUAUGGUUAUAAUCUGUUAUGGAUGAUAGGCUAUGGUUAUAACCUGUUCUACAUGAUAUGUUAUGGUUAUAAUCUGUUAUGGAUGAUAGGCUAUGGUUAUAACCUGUUCUACAUGAUAUGUUAUGGUUAUAAUCUGUUAUGGAUGAUAGGCUAUGGUUAUAAACUGUUAUGGAUGAUAGGCUAUGGGUAUAACCCAUGAGUUGGGUGGUGCUGCAAUUUACUGUCAUGACUAUACCUGUAUUCUACAUGUUUUAUAGACCUACAAUACAGGUAUAGUUAGAGACAGAUAGCAGGCUGGGGUGAGGUGGAGACAGGUGACAGGUAGCAGGCUGGGGUGAGGUGGAGACUGGUGACAGUGAGAUUAGGUAUAGUUAGAGAGAUACCAGGCUGGGGUGAGGUGGAGACAGGUGACAGUGAGAUUAGGCAUAGUUAGAGACAGAUAGCAGGCUGGGGUGAGGUGGAGACAGGUGACAGUGAGAUUAGGUAUAGUUAGAGACAGAUACCAGGCUGGGGUGAGGUGGGGACAGGUGACAGUGAGAUUAGGUAUAGUUAGAGACAGAUAGCAGGCUGGGGUGAGGUGGAGACAGGUGACAGAUAGCAGGCUGGGGUGAGGUGGAGACAGGUGACAGAUAGCAGGCUGGGGUGAGGUGGAGACAGGUGACAGUGAGAUUAGGUAUAGUUAGAGACAGAUAGCAGGCUGGGGUGAGGUGGAGACGGAGGUGACAGUGAGAUUAGGUAUAGUUAGAGACAGAUAGCAGGCUGGGGUGAGGUGGAGACAGGUGACAGAUAGCAGGCUGGGGUGAGGUGGAGACAGGUGACAGAUACCAGGCUGGGGGUGAGGUAAUAGAUAGAUGGUGGUUCCUAACUAUCACGUGGUCGUGUAUGCAACAGUACUAGUUACAAUACAAGGACCGGAGUUUUUACCCACUGAACACUCUGAUGACUGUUGGGAAGGUGAAAUAUCCAGAUAGAAGUCCCUAAAGUACAUGUAUAUUGAAUUAAUCCUUAAAAUAUUUCCAAUUUUUAGAAUUGUUAACCAAAUUAGAUUUAGAGAUUGCAAUAUUAAAGUGUACAUUUUUUUUUUGUUGGUUCAUUUGAAAUGAAGAAAGGGGAACAAGACAUUAUAAAACAUACUUUAUUAUUAUAUAGAGUAAGAAUAACUCUUCUUCUUCUUCUUCUCCUAGGCUGUUUCUACCCACAACGUUGUAUGCUGGUUUUGUAAUAUGCUGUAGAGCAAGCAGUUCCACUGUUCCUUUUGUUUUAUAUAGACAACUGUUAUUUCAAUGGUGUAUUCUUUUUGUUUUUUGUUUGUUUGAUAAAUAAAAGUUUUGAUACAAAAA